rnacentral:rRNA from 1 species
CCUGUUGGUGGGGUAACGGCCUACCAAAGCUAUGACGGGUAGCUGGUCUGAGAGGAUGAUCAGCCACAGUGGAACUGCGACACGGUCCACACUCCUACGGGAGGCAGCAGCCAAGAAUCUUGGGCAAUGGGCGCAAGCCUGACCCAGCGACGCCGCGUGGAGGAUGAAGGCCUUCGGGUUGUAAACUCCUGUCAGAGGGGACGAAUGCGUACGGGUGAACAAUCCGUGCGUAUGACGGUACCCUCAAAGGAAGCCCCGGCUAAUUACGUGCCAGCAGCCGCGGUAAGACGUAUGGGGCAAGCGUUGCUCGGAUUUACUGGGUGUAAAGGGCGCGUAGGUGGUGUUGAAAGUCAAAUGUGAAAGACCACGGCUCAACUGUGGAAACGCACUUGAAACUUCAAUACUUGAGUUCAGGCGAGGAGAAUAGAAUUCCCGGUGUAGGGGUGAAAUCUGUAGAUAUCGGGAAGAAUACCAGUGGCGAAGGCGAUUCUCUAGUCUGACACUGACAUUGAGGCGCGAAAGCGUGGGGAGCAAACAGGAUUAGAUACCCUGGUAGUCCACGCUGUAAACGAUGGACACUUGGUGUUAGAAGAGAUUAAUCUUCUGGUGCCGGAGCUAACGUGUUAA